GGGCCCUCUGGAGGCAGAGAUGGCUCUUCUUCUCAAGCUGGAGGCUGCUGCAGUUGAAAAUCAAACUCACCUGCUCCACUGAUUUGCGACCAGCUUACUUUUCUUCUGUCAUUUGGGUCUGAAUAUUGUAACUUAUUUUUGAUAUUUGCGGAUUCAGGGCAUGUGAUACAUGUAUAAUCCACCUUGAUGUCACGUCUAUUGGUCGUAGAUUCAUCAAAUGCUUUAGUUUCCUUCCUGUCCUUUUAUUUUGUUGGAUUGUAUUAGUUUCUUUCUUCUUUUGCGAUGUUGAAGGAAACUCUGAAAUGUGAAAUGCAG
rnacentral:misc_RNA from 1 species